CUGUUUCUACUUGCUGUGGACUGAUAAAGUGAAUGUGGGUAUCAAUACCACCAGCCGUCAGGAUCAUUCCCACACCACUGUGUACUUCUGUAGAAGCACCAAUGAUCAUGUUUUCCGUUACGCCAUCCUGAACAUCAGGAUUUCCGGCUUUUCCUACUCCAACAAUCUUUCCAUUUUUGAUCCCCACAUCACCUUUCACAAUUCCCCAAUGGUCGAUCACCAUCACGUUUGUGAUACAGAAAUCCAAUACGCCUUCAUCUGCUAAUGCACGUGCCGACUGCCCCAUUCCAUCACGAAUGG
rnacentral:sRNA from 1 species